CUUAGUAGCAGUCUAUAUUUAACUACAACGUUUCGGAAAUAACCAAGUUGCAGGCAACGGCUUAGUAUAAAAAGGCCUAAAUACGUGUCAAAAAUUAUGUUUCAGGUGUACAUACCCGCAACCUGCAACAUUCCUAAAAUAUCAAUGAAAAAUUAGAAAUAUGUUAGCUCUAAAAAGUUUAGUACUACUGUUUUUUUGUACUCUUAUUGGUACAUGUGAAGCCCUAACAGAUGAAAAUUGGGCAGAGAUAUUCGUACCAAUAGGAUUCGUCUUUCUGGUUUUUGUUUUAUGGCUUAUAUACUACUUCUAUUGCUCUCCGUACGCUGCGGUUCACAGGCACAAAUUUGCAAUGCGGUUUAAUCAACGUUAAUUAUUUAAAGUUUAGGAGAAAAAAAAACUAAAUGAGAAAAUAUUUGGCUUAUAUAUUCUUGCAUGAUAAUUUCUAAUGGUGAUUUUCUCAAGUGUAUGUAGUAGAUUUUGUAAUGUCUUCUUUUUUGAUUUGUUAUAGUUGUUUUUUUUUUCUAAAUGAAGUAGAUUAUUACUAACUGAUAGCCUUUUGUUGUUGUUGUUGUUUUUUGUUUUGUUUUUUGGGCUUCCUGCCUGUUUUUGUUUUUUCCGGCCACAUCCCAAUUGGUAUCGGGGAGAUUAAAGUUUUGAAACAUGAAAUUAUAUAUAUAUAUAUAUUAUAAUAAUAAUUUCAAUAGGUACUGUUCAUAUUUUUUGUUUACAAAAAUAUGUUUAUUAGGCAAAGAUAUUGUUUUUUAGUUUUAAAAAAGCUUGUGACGAUAUUUUCGUAUUUUUUAAAUUAAGCAUAACAAACAGCUAUUUUUAGGAUAUAUUAUAUCGUUGAUUUUCAUACAUGUUGGAAAAAGUAUUAAUAACUGCCGUUUUUGUGUAUCCGAGGUACUAAACAAUAGUGUUUGUAAUGUCAUCAUUUAUUUGAUAAAUUUUUGACACUUUUAGCUUGGAAGAAAACAAUUCUCUAAGCUUUUCUGUUUAUACAUAAUUUCAAUAUGGAAGAAUCGAUAGACUUUCAAUUUACGAUUAAAAAAAAAAUUGUUCAGUAAUAAAAGAAACAGCUAAAUCGGUGUAAUAUAGGAGUAAAAUUAAAACGCCACGCAUCAGCCAAUUGUUAAAUUUCCUUUUCAUUUACUUGUCAUUAGUGAAGCUUUAUUGCGUGCCCUUGACAAUGUUUAGUUUAGCAUGGCAAUCUUCAGUUCUGUCAAAUAAGUAUAGGGAGUUGUACAUGCACACCAUUAAGUUGUAUUUCCACCAUUUAGCACUGAACAGAAUGGUCUGUCAAAGCUAGUGAACGCGUCUGAUUGUAAUGUUGCAAAGUUUAAAAUAUGAAUUAAACAUUGAACAUUAAACAUGUUAGGUUAUGUUCAGUUAACAAUAGAUAGAUCCCAAUGUGUGAAAGUGUACUUUACUUUUUUUUUUUUUUUUUACUUCAACAAAAAUAUACAGGUCUAGAUAUUUCGUUACAAAAAAAAAGAUAAUUACUGCGUUUUUUUUUUUAAAUAGUCAUGUGUUAAAAUUGUAUCAAAUAAAUUCAAAUAUUAAUUUA